UACGAAGGGGGCUAGCGUUGCUCGGAAUUACUGGGCGUAAAGGGCGCGUAGGCGGAUAGUUUAGUCAGAGGUGAAAGCCCAGGGCUCAACCCUGGAAUUGCCUUUGAUACUGGCUAUCUUGAGUUCGGGAGAGGUGAGUGGAACUCCGAGUGUAGAGGUGAAAUUCGUAGAUAUUCGCAAGAACACCAGUGGCGAAGGCGGCUCACUGGCCCGAUACUGACGCUGAGGCACGAAAGCGUGGGGAGCAAACAGG
rnacentral:rRNA from 1 species